rnacentral:rRNA from 1 species
AUUGAACGCUGGCGGCAUGCCUUACACAUGCAAGUCGAACGGCAGCACGGGUGCUUGCACCUGGUGGCGAGUGGCGAACGGGUGAGUAAUACAUCGGAACGUACCUUAUCGUGGGGGAUAACGCAGCGAAAGCUGUGCUAAUACCGCAUACGCCCUGAGGGGGAAAGCGGGGGAUCGCAAGACCUCGCGCGAUUAGAGCGGCCGAUGCCUGAUUAGCUUGUGGGUGGGGUAAAAGCCCACCAAGGCGACGAUCAGUAGCUGGUCUGAGAGGACGAUCCGCCACACUGGGACUGCGACACGGCCCAGACUCCUACGGGAGGCAGCAGUGGGGAAUUUUGGACAAUGGGGGCAACCCUGAUCCAGCAAUGCCGCGUGAGUGAAGAAGGCCUUCGGGUUGUAAAGCUCUUUUGUCAGGGAAGAAACACCGGCUCUAACACAGUCCGGGAAUGACGGUACCUGAAGAAUAAGCACCGGCUAACUACGUGCCAGCCGCCGCUGUAA